GACGAACGCUGGCGGCGUGCUUAACACAUGCAAGUCGAACGGAAAGGCCCUGCUUUUGUGGGGUGCUCGAGUGGCGAACGGGUGAGUAACACGUGAGUAACCUGCCCUUGACUUUGGGAUAACUUCAGGAAACUGGGGCUAAUACCGGAUAGGAGCUCCUGCUGCAUGGUGGGGGUUGGAAAGUUUCGGCGGUUGGGGAUGGACUCGCGGCUUAUCAGCUUGUUGGUGAGGUAGUGGCUUACCAAGGCUUUGACGGGUAGCCGGCCUGAGAGGGUGACCGGCCACAUUGGGACUGAGAGACGGCCCAGACUCCUACGGGAGGCAGCAGUGGGGAAUAUUGCACAAUGGGCGGAAGCCUGAUGCAGCAACGCCGCGUGCGGGAUGACGGCCUUCGGGUUGUAAACCGCUUUCGCCUGUGACGAAGCGGGAGUGACGGUAAUGGGUAAAGAAGCACCGGCUAACUACGUG
rnacentral:rRNA from 1 species